rnacentral:rRNA from 1 species
UGGCGCACGGGUGAGUAACACGUAGGUAACCUUCCCUUAAGAGGGGGACAACUCAGGGAAACUUGAGCUAAUACCCCAUAAGACCACGAACUGAGAUAUUUGUGGUAAAAGUAGCAAUACGCUUAUGGAUGGGCCUGCGGCCUAUCAGGUAGUUGGUGAGGUAACGGCCCACCAAGCCUAAGACGGGUAGCCGGACUGAGAGGUCGAUCGGCCACACUGGAACUGAGACACGGUCCAGACUCCUACGGGAGGCAGCAGUGGGGAAUUUUGCACAAUGGGCGAAAGCCUGAUGCAGCGACGCCGCGUGGAGGAUGAAGGCCUUCGGGUUGUAAACUCCUUUUGUAGGGGAAAAUAAUGAUGGUACCCUGCGAAUAAGCCACGGCUAACUCUGUGCCAGCAGCCGCGGUAAGACAGAGGUGGCAAGCGUUGUUCGGAAUUACUGGGCUUAAAGGGCGCGUAGGCGGUGAGAUAAGUCUGAGGUGAAAUCCUAUGGCUUAACCAUAGAAUUGCCUUGGGAACUGUUUUACUUGAGUCAGCGAGGGGAUGGUGGAAUUCCCGGUGUAGCGGUGAAAUGCGUAGAUAUCGGGAGGAAGGCCGGUGGCGAAGGCGGCCAUCUGGCGCUGAACUGACGCUGAGGCGCGAAAGCGUGGGUAGCAAACAGGAUUAGAUACCCUGGUAGUCCACGCCCUAAACGGUGGGUAUUAGGUGUAGGGCUCGUAAGGGUUCUGUGCCGAAAGGGAAACCAUUAAAUACCCCGCCUGGGGAGUACGGCCGCAAGGUUGAAACUCAAGGAAUUGACGGGGCCCGCACAAGCGGUGGAGCAUGUGGUUUAAUUCG